rnacentral:rRNA from 1 species
AGAGUGAACGCUGGCGGCAGGCCUAACACAUGCAAGUCGAACGGCAGCACAGCCCUAGCAAUAGGGUGGGUGGCGAGUGGCGGACGGGUGAGGAAUACAUCGGAAUCUACCUUGUCGUGGGGGAUAACGUAGGGAAACUUACGCUAAUACCGCAUACGAACUAUGGUUGAAAGCGGCGGACCGCAAGGCGUCGCGCGAUUGGAUGAGCCGAUGUCCGAUUAGCUAGUUGGCGGGGUAAAGGCCCACCAAGGCGACGAUCGGUAGCUGGUCUGAGAGGAUGAUCAGCCACACUGGAACUGAGACACGGUCCAGACUCCGUACGGGAGGCAGCAGGUGGGGAAUAGUUGGACAAGUGGGGACGCAAGCCUGACUCCAGCCAGUGCCGCGUGGUGUAGAAGAAGGCCUUCGGGUAGUAAAGACUACGUUUUAGUUAGGGUAAAG